rnacentral:rRNA from 1 species
CGUACACUCCUGCGGGAGGCAGCAGUGGGGAAUAUUGGACAAUGGGCGCAAGCCUGAUCCAGCCAUGCCGCGUGAGUGAUGAAGGCCCUAGGGUUGUAAAGCUCUUUCACCGGUGAAGAUAAUGACGGUAACCGGAGAAGAAGCCCCGGCUAACUUCGUGCCAGCAGCCGCGGUAAUACGAAGGGGGCUAGCGUUGUUCGGAUUUACUGGGCGUAAAGCGCACGUAGGCGGACUAUUAAGUCAGGGGUGAAAUCCCGGGGCUCAACCCCGGAACUGCCUUUGAUACUGGUAGUCUUGAGUUCGAGAGAGGUGAGUGGAAUUCCGAGUGUAGAGGUGAAAUUCGUAGAUAUUCGGAGGAACACCAGUGGCGAAGGCGGCUCACUGGCUCGAUACUGACGCUGAGGUGCGAAAGCGUGGGGAGCAAACAGGAUUAGAUACCCUUGUAGUCCC